AUAAGCCAAAUACUGUGAAUAUGUCCAUUUAUCUGGGGGGAUAUAUUGUAAUAUCAGUCAAAUUCUUAAAGAGAUUCCUGACUCUAAAAAAGUAAAGACAACUGCGAAAGUAAUGAGAAGCUUUUACCCAUCUUAGUCUGAACCAGCUGGGACAGAUGGUUUAAAGAAACCUGGCCUUCUUACUACCCUAGAGAGAAAGAUAUUCCCAUUUUGUGGCUGCACUCAUUUUCUCAGUUGGUACUUCUGUGCUUUAUUAGAGUUUUGUUAGGUUUUUGAAUGAGGUAUUAAACCUCACAGAGGAAUGCCAUGGACUCAUAUUUCAAUGAAUUUUAAUAGAAUAAUCACUGGCAAUUACUUGGCAUAUAAAAAUUGCUCUGCAAAUGUUAAGAGUAUUCAUUGGCGUGAUAGGUGGGAGUUCCAAUGCCAUGAUGAGAACGUUGCCUUUCACAGGGCCUGAUGUCAUCACAAGGGGCUUGCCACCUCUGUGCUCCCUCCUGCCUGCAUGCAACCUCAGAUUCUUCAGCAGGAAGGAUGCUGUGAGCUCAUGAGGUCAGCUUUUGCCCCUGGACUGUGCCAGUGUUUAUAUGAACCUCAGGCUGUUCUCCUUCCACUUCCACUGGGGCUGAGCUUUCCUCCUGCCAGGAAGUUCUCUUAUUUAUCUGACCUCAGUCAUUCAUACCACAGGACACUCUCAUUUCCUUCUCCUGGAAGGAUUUUCUUGAGAGAAGGGACAACUGAGCAUUUCUCCGCUCUCCCCUCCUCCCUGGGCUCAUCUGGUCUCACGUGGAUGACUCCACACUUGCUGAACCUUCCUAUGUCCUGACCUUUAAUUAUCUUCAGCUCCCUCUGAAGCCUGGGACUCCCACCACCCAGGAAGGCAAGUUUUUUAUUCCUUCCGCCCUUUUAAAGGAUGAAUAUUGUGGCUGGGGUAAUUCUCAGCACUUAAUCUCUCUGGCUAUUGUGUCUGUGUCACCUCUCUCUUCAACUGCCUCUCUCCAGAGCUCCUUCUGUGUAAGCCUGCCCGCAGCCUUAUAGUGGGGAGGGAAGUCUCUCACCAGGGGACCCUAAUCCUCUUACAAAGGGGUUUGGGGGGUCUUGGGAUGGUGUGUUCCAGUUUCUGCCCAUUCAGUGGUGCUGGAGGGAGACUUCAGCCUUGGCCAAGACUGGCAUGGAGCCAGCACUUCUUGAGAUAAAGCCCCCUCUGCAGGCUCUCUGUCUGCCCUGGGCCUUCCCAGGGAGACAAUAGUUCAGAGUUAUAAGGAGGGCUGGCCAAUCUCUGCCCAGGCAUGGGGCAAAGAUCUGAGGGGCCAGAUCUUCAGAGCUGCACUGGAGGUGAGGCUUACCUGGAUUGGCCAGAGAAGUAGGGAGCAGCAGUGGUGGAAGUUUAGCAAAUAGUUCCGCCUCCCAUAGCUGAAACUUGUAACUGCUCCACAGCUCCCUGGAUAACAACCUCUAAAGCUGUAUGGAGCAGUCUGAGCUGGAGAGAUUCCUGUCAACCAGGCCACCUCUCCUUCAGUGUCCUUUUUCCCAGAACCUGUCCAUGGCUCAUAGACACAUGGAGAACUAAACAAGGGGUUGGGAUUUCCUAGGAGGAGCUGAAGCAGAUCGCUGCAGGUUGGAGAGUGGAGUCUCUAAAAAUCUGCUAAGAGGCUGCCAAGUCAAGGACAGGUAGGUAUUGGGUAUAGGGGGUAAUUCUCUAGGAAAACUACAGGGGAAAGUUUAUCACCUUCCUCAUCUAUUCAAGCACUCAGGGCGAAGGGGGGUGGCCCACAGACUGCUGUUGCUUAUAGUCCCAGGAAUGUCAUGAGGCCAAAGCUCUGCUCCUGCUCCUUAGGGUGGGAGACAUAUUCCAGAGCUGGGGCUUCUCCAGGGCCACCAUGUAGAUCACGUACAGCUGCACAGGUUGUACACUGCACAGCUCUAGGCUACAUCAUAAAGGGCCCACAAGUGUAGAAGUCUUUGCCUAUUUUGUCCACAAAUGUAUUCCAAGCUUCUAGAAUAACACCUGGAACACAGUAAGUGCUUUAUAAAAAAUUGGCAAAUGGGUUGGGUGCAAUGGCUCACGCCUGUAAUCCUGGCACUUUGGGAGGCUGAGGCGGGCAGAUCGCGAGGUCAGGAGAUUGAAACCAUCCUGGCUAACACAGUGAAACCCCGUCUCUACU
rnacentral:lncRNA from 10 species